rnacentral:rRNA from 1 species
AGAGUUUGAUCAUGGCUCAGAUUAAACGCUAGCGGCAUGCCUUACACAUGCAAGUCGAACGGCAGCGGGCUCUUCGGAGUGCCGGCGAGUGGCAAACGGGUGAGUAAUACAUCGGAACAUGCCCAGUAGUGGGGGAUAGCUCGGCGAAAGCCGAAUUAAUACCGCAUACGACCUUCGGGUGAAAGGGGGGGAUCUUCGGACCUCUCGCUAUUGGAGUGGCCGAUGCCUGAUUAGUUUGUUGGUGGGGUAACGGCCUACCAAGGCGACGAUCUUUAGCUGGUCUGAGAGGACGAUCAGCCACAUUGGGACUGAGACACGGCCCAGACUCCUACGGGAGGCAGCAGUGGGGAAUAUUGGACAAUGGGCGCAAGCCUGAUCCAGCCAUACCGCGUGUGUGAAGAAGGCUUUCGGGUUGUAAAGCACUUUAAGUAAGGAGAAAAAGAUUGUAGUUAAUACCUGCAAUCCGUGAUGUUACUUACAGAAUAAGGACCGGCUAAUUCCGUGCCAGCAGCCGCGGUAAUACGGAAGGUCCAAGCGUUAAUCGGAAUUACUGGGCGUAAAGCGCGCGUAGGUGGUUUUUUAAGUUGGAUGUGAAAGCCCUGGGCUCAACCUAGGAACUGCAUCCAAAACUAGAUAACUAGAGUACGAAAGAGGGAAGUAGAAUUCACAGUGUAGCGGUGGAAUGCGUAGAUAUUGUGAAGAAUACCAAUGGCGAAGGCAGCUUCCUGGUUCUGUACUGACACUGAGGUGCGAAAGCGUGGGUAGCGAACAGGAUUAGAUACCCUGGUAGUCCACGCCGUAAACGAUGACAACUAGCUGUUGGGAGACAAGAUCUCUCAGUGGCGCAGCUAACGCUUUAAGUUGUCCGCCUGGGGAGUACGGCCGCAAGGUUAAAACUCAAAUGAAUUGACGGGGACCCGCACAAGCGGUGGAGCAUGUGGUUUAAUUCGAUGCAACGCGAAAAACCUUACCUACUCUUGACAUACUUGGAAGCUCUUGUAAUGAGAGUGUGCUUU